ensembl:lncRNA
CAAGCCGUACCCCAAAACCGCUUUGUCCAUCAUGUCAGAGCCCCGAGCGCCACCCGCCGUGGGCUGUGCCAGCGCUCAGGGAAGGGUCCCGCUCGUGGCAUCCAUAAAUAAUCUUAUUUAGGGAAUUUUGGAAUCAUUCAGGCUGGAGAAGCCGUCUAAGACCGCCAAGCCCAACCAUUCCCCCAGUGGCACGGCCAACCUGCGUCCCCAAGUGCCACAUCCACGUGGUUUUGGGGAUGGGGACUGCAGCAGCAGCCUGGGCAGCGGUGCCAGGGCCAGAUCCCCCUUUCCACGGAGAAAUUCCUGCUGAUGCCCCGUUCCUUCUCCUCCUGUCCCUGCUCGCUGGGAGCAGAGCCUGACCCCCUCCGCCUGCCCCUCUGUCAGGGAGUUGUGCAGAGCCCAAGGUCCCUCCUGAUCCCGCUUUUCCGCAGGGUAAACAUUCCCGCUCCUGGCGCUCCAAACUCUCCUUGUCCCGGGGCGGGGGGUGGCACCCUGGAACCACAUUGCCGUCCGAACUACAACUCCCAGCGUGCCCCGUACCGGAAGUUCCGGCCACACCCGCGCCAUGAACGCGCGCGCUGCCGCCGCUGCUUAAAGGGGCCGCGGGCCCCCCCCCCCCCCCCCCCCCCCCCCCCCCCCCCCCCCCCCCCCCCCCCCCCCCCCCCCCCCCCCCCCCCCCCCCCCCCCCCCCCCCCCCCCCCCCCCCCCCCCCCCCCCCCCCCCCCCCCCCCCCCCCCCCCCCCCCCCCCCCCCCCCCCCCCCCCCCCCCCCCCCCCCCCCCCCCCCCCCCCCCCCCCCCAGCGCCCGGAGCUCGGCUGGGUCGGGCCGCGGCUCCGAUCCCUGUCCCGAGGAAUUUUUUCUUUCCCUAUGUUCCCUGCUGGGCUCUAGGAUGUUGGAGAACCGAGAGGAAGAGCUGACCACGGUGCGGGUGCAGGAUCCCCGCGUGCACAACGAGGGCUCCUGGAAUUCCUACGUGGAUUACAAGAUCUUCCUGCACGUGAGCUGGGGCUGGGACAUGGAGGGGGAGAGCUGGGAUUGGGAUGAGCCCUGGGAGAGCUGGGAUUGGGAUGAUCCUCGGGAUCACAUCCUGGAUCCGGCAUCCAGGGGAUCCUGCCCUGACUGAGGUGCUGAUCCUUGCUCUCCAUAAUUCCCACGGGUGAUUCCCAUCCUGGAUCCCUCAGCCCUCAGUCCCAUGGAUAAUUCCCAGGAUAAUAAUUCCCAGGAUAAUUCCCAUGGGUGAUUCCCAUCCUGGAUCCCUCAGCCCUCAAUCCCAUGGAUAAUUCCCAUGGAUGAUUCCCAUCCUGGAUCCAUCAGCCCUCAAUCCCAGGGAUAAUUCCCAUGGAUAAUUCCCAGGAUAAUUCCCAUCCUGGACCCCUCAGCCCUCAAUCCCAUGGAUAAUUCCCAGGAUAAUAACUCCCAGGAUAAUUCCCAUCCUGGACCCCUCAGCCCUCAAUCCCAUGGAUAAUUCCCAGGAUAAUAACUCCCAGGAUAAUUCCCAUCCUGGACCCCUCAGCCCUCAAUCCCAUGGAUAAUUCCCAGGAUAAUAACUCCCAGGAUAAUUCCCAUCCUGGACCCCUCAGCCCUCAAUCCCAUGGAUAAUUCCCAUGGAUGAUUCCCAUCCUGGAUCCAUCAGCCCUCAAUCCCAGGGAUAAUUCCCAUGGAUAAUUCCCAGGAUAAUUCCCAUCCUGGACCCCUCAGCCCUCAAUCCCAUGGAUAAUUCCCAUGGAUGAUUCCCAUCCUGGAUCCAUCAGCCCUCAAUCCCAGGGAUAAUUCCCAUGGAUAAUUCCCAGGAUAAUUCCCAUCCUGGACCCCUCAGCCCUCAAUCCCAUGGAUAAUUCCCAUGGAUGAUUCCCAUCCUGGAUCCAUCAGCCCUCAAUCCCAGGGAUAAUUCCCAUGGAUAAUUCCCAGGAUAAUUCCCAUCCUGGACCCCUCAGCCCUCAAUCCCAGGGAUAAUUCCCAGGAUAAUAUUUCCCAGGAUAAUAAUUCCCAUGGAUAAUUCCCCUCCUGGACCCCUCAGCCCUCAAUCUCAGGGAUAAUUCCCAGGAUAAUUCCCAUGGAUAAUUCCCAUCCUGGACCCCUCAGCCCUCAAUCCCAGGGAUAAUUCCCAGGAUAAUUCCCAUGGAUAAUUCCCCUCCUGGACCCCUCAGCCCUCAAUCUCAGGGAUAAUUCCCAGGAUAAUUCCCAUGGAUAAUUCCCAUCCUGGACCCCUCAGCCCUCAAUCCCAGGGAUAAUUCCCAGGAUAAUAUUUCCCAGGAUAAUAAUUCCCAUGGAUAAUUCCCCUCCUGGACCCCUGAGCCCUCAAUCCCAGAGAUAAUUCCCACGGAUAAUUCCCAUGGAUAAUUCCCAUCCUGGACCCCUCAGCCCUCAAUCCCAGGGAUAAUUCCCAGGAUAAUUCCCAUGGAUAAUUCCCCUCCUGGACCCCUCAGCCCUCAAUCUCAGGGAUAAUUCCCAGGAUAAUUCCCAUGGAUAAUUCCCAUCCUGGACUCCUCAGCCCUCAAUCCCAAGGAUAAUUCCCAGGAUAAUAUUUCCCAGGAUAAUAAUUCCCAUCCUGGAUCCCUCAGCCCUCAAUCCCAGGGAUAAUUCCCAGGAUAAUAACCCCCCCCCCCCCCCCCCCCCCCCCCCCCCCCCCCCCCCCCCCCCCCCCCCCCCCCCCCCCCCCCCCCCCC